CUGGCGUAGUAUUUUCGCAGCGCGUGGGCAGUGACACACACGGCUGAUACAACUGUACUAGUCACGUGUGUCUGGCGUUGCACGCUGUGGAUAAUUUCUGACCACCAGUUUGGCUGGAGCCCACUUAGUGCUCGCGUGUGCAGUUCUUCCCUACAUUGUUAGUGAAGAGGGAGAAAGCGCUACACCAGCUAGAAUGUGCUUGCCGCUGUGGACUUCGAAAUGAAGUUCACAUGUGUGCUUGAUGGGUGAGAAGGAUCAUCCUAUGAUGUCUGGCUGACAACUUGGAGAGAGCUGAUGGCCUGAAGGUCCCUGAGGGUAAGUUCUACCUUGAUGAUGCCGACUAUGCUUGCCGCCCUGGUUUUCUACCACCCUUCAGGUCCACAAGGUACCACAUCAAUUAUGAGUUAUCUGCAAGUUCUAUCCCAAGAAUGCCAGAGAACUCUUCAAUCUCAGUCACUCUAGCCUCAGGGUCACCGUUGAGAGGGCAUUUGCAGCUCUGAAGAACAGAUUUAAGAUCCUUGAACAAAAGCAUUUCCACACCUUCUCUACCUAGGUUAAGCUAGUGCUAGCUUGUUGCAUUCUCCAUAACUUUAUCUUAGGCUGAGAUGUUGAUUCUUUCUUCCCGAACAAGAAUCAGGUCCAACCUGACGAGGUUGACGUUAGCCAUGGUGUUGCUGCCACCGAUAACGUGGCCUGGAAAAACAAGAGGCAUCAGUGGGCGGACACUAUGUGGGCUGACAGAGGCCAUACCAGGAUAUGAAGAAGAAGAGAAGAAUUGCCAUCAUGUGUGUUGUGACAUGAACUACUCCCAGUUAUGUGUCAUGAACUCUUUGUGCGCCCUGAACUACCAUUCGUGAUUAGCUAGGGCUUAACUUGUUGUGUUGAACUGCUAUUUGGAAGUAGUAAGAACUGAAAGACGUUAUAAUAAUACUUCUUGUUAGUUU